rnacentral:rRNA from 1 species
UACGGAGGAUCCAAGCGUUAUCCGGAUUUAUUGGGUUUAAAGGGUGCGUAGGCGGAUUGAUAAGUUAGAGGUGAAAUGUCCGAGCUCAACUCGGGAACUGCCUCUAAUACUGUUGAUCUAGAGAGUAGAUGCGGUAGGCGGAAUGUAUGGUGUAGCGGUGAAAUGCUUAGAGAUCAUACAGAACACCGAUUGCGAAGGCAGCUUACCAAUCUAUAUCUGACGUUGUGGCACGAAAGCGUGGGGAGCAAACAGG